rnacentral:tRNA from 1 species
AGUAGAAUGACUGAGGUUAAAGGUGAUAGAUUGUAAAUCUAUUAAGGGGUUGUUACUCUUCUACUA